UACGAAGGGUGCAAGCGUUACUCGGAAUUACUGGGCGUAAAGCGUGCGUAGGUGUUUGUUAAGUCUGUUGUGAAAGCCCCGGGCUCAACCUGGGAAUGGCAAUGGAUACUGGCAGGCUAGAGUGCGGUAGAGGGUAGUGGAAUUCCCGGUGUAGCGGUGAAAUGCGUAGAGAUCGGGAGGAACACCAGUGGCGAAGGCGGCUACCUGGACCAGCACUGACACUGAGGCACGAAGGCCAGGGGAGCAAACGGG
rnacentral:rRNA from 1 species